AGGACGAACGCUGGCGGCGUGCUUAACACAUGCAAGUCGAGCGGUAAGGCCUUUCGGGGUACACGAGCGGCGAACGGGUGAGUAACACGUGGGUGAUCUGCCCUGCACUUCGGGAUAAGCCUGGGAAACUGGGUCUAAUACCGGAUAUGACCUCCUAUCGCAUGGUGGGUGGUGGAAAGAUUUAUCGGUGCAGGAUGGGCCCGCGGCCUAUCAGCUUGUUGGUGGGGUAAUGGCCUACCAAGGCGACGACGGGUAGCCGACCUGAGAGGGUGACCGGCCACACUGGGACUGAGACACGGCCCAGACUCCUACGGGAGGCAGCAGUGGGGAAUAUUGCACAAUGGGCGAAAGCCUGAUGCAGCGACGCCGCGUGAGGAUGACGGCCUUCGGGUUGUAAACCUCUUUCAGCAGGACGAAGCGCAAGUGACGGUACCUGCAGAAGAAGCACCGGCUAACUACGUGCCAGCAGCCGC
rnacentral:rRNA from 1 species